rnacentral:rRNA from 1 species
AGGCAGCCCCCUGGGCUAACACUGACGCUGAUGCACGAAAGCGUGGGAGCAAACAGGAUUAGAUACCCUGGUAGUCCACGCCCUAAACUAUGUCAACUGGUUGUCGGGGAAGAAAUUCCUUGGUAACGAAGCUAACGCGUGAAGUUGACCGCCUGGGGGAGUACGGCCGCAAGGUUAAAACUCAAAGGAAUUGACGGGGACCCGCACAAGCGGUGGAUUAUGUGGAUUAAUUCGAUGCAACGCGAAAAACCUUACCUACCCUUGACAUGUACGGAACCCUCCAGAGAUGGAGGGGUGCCCCAAAGGGAGCCGUAACACAGGUGCUGCAUGGCUGUCGUCAGCUCGUGUCGUGAGAUGUUGGGUUAAGUCCCGCAACGAGCGCAACCCUUGCCAUUAGUUGCUACAUUCAGUUGGGCACUCUAAUGGGACUGCCGGUGACAAACCGGAGGAAGGUGGGGAUGACGUCAAGUCCUCAUGGCCCUUAUGGGUAGGGCUUCACACGUAAUACAAUGGCCGGUACAGAGGGCUGCCAACCCGCGAGGGGGCGCAAAUCCCAGAAAGCCGGUCGUAGUCCGGAUUGCAGUCUGCAACUCGACUGCAUGAAGCCGGAAUCGCUAGUAAUCGCGGAUCAGCACGUCGCGGUGAAUACGUUCCCGGGUCUUGUACACACCGCCCGUCACACCAUGGGAGUGGGUUUCACCAGAAGUAGUUAGCCUAACCGCAAGGAGGGCGACUACCACGGUGAGAUUCAUGACUGGGGUGAAGUCGUAACAAGGUAACCAAGGG